AUUGAACGCUGGCGGCAGGCCUAACACAUGCAAGUCGAGCGGCAGCGGGAAAGUAGCUUGCUACUUUUGCCGGCGAGCGGCGGACGGGUGAGUAAUGCCUGGGGAUCUGCCCAGUCGAGGGGGAUAACUACUGGAAACGGUAGCUAAUACCGCAUACGCCCUACGGGGGAAAGCAGGGGACCUUCGGGCCUUGCGCGAUUGGAUGAACCCAGGUGGGAUUAGCUAGUUGGUGAGGUAAUGGCUCACCAAGGCGACGAUCCCUAGCUGGUCUGAGAGGAUGAUCAGCCACACUGGAACUGAGACACGGUCCAGACUCCUACGGGAGGCAGCAGUGGGGAAUAUUGCACAAUGGGGGAAACCCUGAUGCAGCCAUGCCGCGUGUGUGAAGAAGGCCUUCGGGUUGUAAAGCACUUUCAGCGAGGAGGAAAGGUUGGUAGUUAAUAACUGCCAGCUGUGACGUUACUCGCAGAAGAAGCACCGGCUAACUCCGUGCCAGCCGCCGCAGUAAAAC
rnacentral:rRNA from 1 species